rnacentral:lncRNA from 1 species
UGUGACUAAUGCUGCUAUAAGCGUGGGUGUACAAACAGCUAUUUAAGUUUCUGCUUUCAGUUUUUUUGGGAAUAUACCCAGAAACCCAGAAGUGAAACUGCUGGAUCAUAUGUUUCAUUUUUUGAGGAACUCGCAUACCGUUUUCUGUAGCGGCUGCACCAUGUGAACUAAGGUUAAAAUGAAUGUUUCGCCGUUGCUGGACUAGUUGUCCUAGGGUUUUUUCUAGCUCUGCUGGCCUGUGGUUAGAGAAAUGUGAGGAUGAACAACAGGGAAGGGAAGUGGAUUGGAAGGACACGGGCAGUCUUCCAGCUCAGAUGCUGGAAGUGGUGGUGGUGAGGGUGGGGGAAGGGUGUUUAUGAAGUCAUAAUCCAGUCACGGACCUCAGGACAUUUGGGCUGGGAGAGGUAGACCUAGGCCAGUUUGGAGUACUAGGCAAUGGGGGCGGGGGGGUCCCUGCACCUCAAAGAGGCCUGAGAAAGAAGAACCUCACAUGUAUCAGGGAGUCCCAGAGAAAAUGGUGCAAGGAGCAAUGCCCAGUGGCCAGCCAUCCUCAAUGUCAUGGCCCCGGAGGCCAGAACAGUAGAGAAAUUCAAGGUGCGGAGACCGGCUCCCUCACAUGGGCAACCUGGCCCACUGGCUCUUACCAUUCAUAUAUCUGUGAACAUGGCCUUAUUUGGAAAUAGUAUCGUAGCAGAUCUGAUUAUGUAAAGAUGAGGUCCUUUUGGAUUAGAGUGGGCCUCAUAAGACAAGGGGGUUGGGGCGCACAGACACACACCUGCCCUGUGGGCAGGUGAGGAAACUGGAGCAAAUGCCAGCUCCCUGAACAGAACAGAGUGAGCCUGACAGUUGGGCAUCUGUCCAAACCACACGAGCAGGCCCGGCAGGAAAAGUACCUGUCCAGUGGACAAGCGGCCCAUGCAAUCAGGACAGCUGGGAAGAGGCUGAUGCUUUCAGCCACGCUUCAUCUCCUUGUCCUCAUUUGGGCAGAGGUAAAGAAAGAGCACUACUGGCUGCACAUGGUGGCUCACCCAGUAGAUCCUUUAUGAUGUACCUCACUUAAAAGCUACAUUUUAAACGGAAUAGUCAAACUCCAAUAAUGACUGUGGUCUUUUUCCUUUUAGAGACCAGACUGAUCUACUAAUAGUGUAAUUCAAAGAUGGCUACAAAGGCCAAAACUAGCCAAACCCUCCUGGCCCACUGUGACCACUAAGGUUCCACCUACAAGGACCUAGUGAAAGUCUAAUAAAAAGCUGCCUGGCUGGGUGCAGUGGCUCACAC